rnacentral:rRNA from 1 species
UAGCGUUACUGACGCUGAAGCUCGAAAGCGUGGGUAUCGAACAGGAUUAGAUACCCUGGUAGUCCACGCGGUAAACGAUGGAUGCUCGCUGUUUGCCUUAUAUGGUAAGCGGCCAAGCGAAAGCAUUAAGCAUCCCACCUGGGGAGUACGCCGGCAACGGUGAAACUCAAAGGAAUUGACGGGGGCCCGCACAAGCGGAGGAACAUGUGGUUUAAUUCGAUGAUACGCGAGGAACCUUACCCGGGCUUGAACUGUAGGUGAACGAUUCAGAGAUGAUGAGGUCCUUCGGGACGCCUAUGGAGGUGCUGCAUGGUUGUCGUCAGCUCGUGCCGUGAGGUGUCGGCUUAAGUGCCAUAACGAGCGCAACCCCUUUCCGCAGUUGCCAUCAGGUUAAGCUGGGCACUCUGCGGAUACUGCCACCGCAAGGUGUGAGGAAGGUGGGGAUGACGUCAAAUCAGCACGGCCCUUACGUCCGGGGCUACACACGUGUUACAAUGGCGCAUACAGCGAGUUGGUCUUUGGCAACAGAGGUCUAAUCAGUAAAAUGCGUCGUAGUUCGGAUUGGGGUCUGCAACCCGACCCCAUGAAGCUGGAUUCGCUA